rnacentral:rRNA from 1 species
CCUACGGGUGGCAGCAGUGGGGAAUAUUGGGCAAUGGAGGCAACUCUGACCCAGCAACGCCGCGUGAAUGAUGAAGGUCUUCGGAUUGUACAGUUCUUUUCUGAGGGACGAAGAAAGUGACGGUACCUCAGGAAUAAGCCACGGCUAACUACGUGCCAGCAGCCGCGGUAAUACGUAGGGGGCAAGCGUUAUCCGGAUUUAUUGGGUGUAAAGGGCGUGUAGGCGGGAAAGCAAGUCAGAUGUGAAAACUCAGGGCUCAACCCUGAGCCUGCAUUUGAAACUGUUUUUCUUGAGUGCUGGAGAGGCAAUCGGAAUUCCGUGUGUAGCGGUGAAAUGCGUAGAUAUACGGAGGAACACCAGUGGCGAAGGCGGAUUGCUGGACAGUAACUGACGCUGAGGCGCGAAAGCGUGGGGAGCAAACAGGAUUAGAUACCCCAGUAGUC